GGGCCAUGGCUCCGUGGUAGAACACCUGUUUGGCAUGCAGAAGUUCCCAGGUUCAAUUCCUGGCAUCUUCA
rnacentral:tRNA from 1 species